rnacentral:piRNA from 1 species
AAUAAUCGGACUAUUCGUUGAUGAUGG